AUCUCAUGAUUUGGGCACUUUUAAGAAUAUCCUUAAAACUCUACCAUGCUUUAUUAAAAAUUUUCGAAUCAAAUUGUUGGAGGGUGGUAAUGUCAUGCUUGAGCUU
rnacentral:snoRNA from 1 species